GACAACUUGGUUAAUUGCUUAGGAUUAAUUGUCUCGAUCGAAGUUUUUGUUUUAAGUGUGCAGGAUUAACUACGAUGAAAGUUAGACAAGCAGUAGGAGUUGCGCCGGAGUCAAGUUCAUGAUCACGUUGGAAGUUCGAGAGUUCGACGGAAGUUCGGACGGUCAUCGGAGGUUCUGCGAGAACAGAUCCGAGAAGUCCAGAAGCUUGCCAAGCGAAGCUC
rnacentral:lncRNA from 1 species